rnacentral:rRNA from 1 species
GACGAACGCUGGCGGCGUGCCUAAUACAUGCAAGUAGAACGCUGAAGAGAGGAGCUUGCUCUUCUUGGAUGAGUUGCGAACGGGUGAGUAACGCGUAGGUAACCUGCCUUGUAGCGGGGGAUAACUAUUGGAAACGAUAGCUAAUACCGCAUAACAAUGGAUGACACAUGUCAUUUAUUUGAAAGGGGCAAUUGCUCCACUACAAGAUGGACCUGCGUUGUAUUAGCUAGUAGGUGAGGUAAGGGCUCACCUAGGCGACGAUACAUAGCCGACCUGAGAGGGUGGUCAGCCACCCUGGGACUGAGACCCGGCCCAGACUCCUACGGGAGGCAGCAGUAGGGAAUCUUCGGCAAUGGGGGCAACCCUGACCGAGCAACGCCGCGUGAGUGAAGAAGGUUUUCGGAUCGUAAAGCUCUGUUGUAAGUCAAGAACGGGUGUGAGAGUGGAAAGUUCACACUGUGACGGUAGCUUACCAGAAAGGGACGGCUAACUACGUG